AGCUUUGCGCUAGGGGCAGUAUCGUAACCAAUGAGGUAAAAACCGAAGGUGCGAUGUAAUUGCUAGUUUGAAAACUUUAACCAAUACCCCGGCCGGGACGUCGUGAAAUACGACUGUCCAAUGGCAAUUUUUGAUUAGCCGAUUCGGGC